rnacentral:rRNA from 1 species
AUGAACGCUGGCGGCGUGCCUAAUACCUGCAAGUCGAGCGAACAGACGAGGAGCUUGCUCCUCUGACGUUAGCGGCGGACGGGUGAGUAACACGUGGAUAACCUACCUAUAAGACUGGGAUAACUUCGGGAAACCGGAGCUAAUACCGGAUAAUAUAUUGAACCGCAUGGUUCAAUAGUGAAAGACGGUUUUGCUGUCACUUAUAGAUGGAUCCGCGCCGCAUUAGCUAGUUGGUAAGGUAACGGCUUACCAAGGCGACGAUGCGUAGCCGACCUGAGAGGGUGAUCGGCCACACUGGAACUGAGACACGGUCCAGACUCCUACGGGAGGCAGCAGUAGGGAAUCUUCCGCAAUGGGCGAAAGCCUGACGGAGCAACGCCGCGUGAGUGAUGAAGGUCUUCGGAUCGUAAAACUCUGUUAUUAGGGAAGAACAAAUGUGUAAGUAACUAUGCACGUCUUGACGGUACCUAAUCAGAAAGCCGCGGCUAACUACGUG